rnacentral:lncRNA from 1 species
CUUUGAUCUCAUGGCUCUGUCUUUUACUCAAGUCUAGUUUUGUGCCACUGCAAAGCCAUGGUUUAGCCCGUGAGCACAGCUGGGACCUGUGAUUUGAGGGUGGUUCGGGGAAGGAUCCCAUGUAAAAUAAAUGAGGAUCGGUUAGAAGAAUCCUUCGCUCUGUUUUGAGCCGCUUGGAAAAGCCAUCUGGCAACUAAGGGUUAAAUAUACCGAGUUGAGAUUGCUAGAAGGGAAGAAGGAAAACCCUGGCAAGCAGGAAACGGAACUGUCUCCAUAGGAAGUGCUCCCACUCUCCCCCACCCAAAAAAGGUCCCUUCCGGUCUGUCCUUUUUCUUCCUCCGGGAGGAAAGCGUGACUUGGCCUUCUAGAAAGGUUCUUUGGGGAUCUGUUGGAGCCUCUUCCUGCCUCUCCCCCUCCCAAUUGCGACUGGGUUGGUGAGAAAUCUCUCUGUGGAAGCUCAGUCAGAGAUCCAGGUAGCAGAGCAGCCUCACUUCCAGACCAAACAGAGUGCCCAGCAAGAAGAGAGCCAUCAGAGCAAUAGGGAGGUGUCCGCCUUGAUCGGGACUGGGAGGAUGCCAGGAACAAGUAUUCUUUCAUUUCUUCCUUGUGAUGGAGCAGAACCAGAUUGGGUAUGUACAAGAUGUUUAAAAGACUUCUUGUGUAAUUAGAACUUCUGUAUAUUCCACCACUUUAGUUCUUAAUACUGCUUUCCAUUCCUUUUUCAUGUAAUGUUCCACAUGUUCAAUGCUUUGGGGCCAGUUAGUUUCACUGGAAUUCUUUUCCCUCCCCCUGAGUUCAGGUUCUGGAAGACAGGAAGGAGGAG